GCUGGCAUGGUGGCGUGUACCUGUAGUCCCAGCCACUCAGGAGGCUGAGGUAGGAGGAUCAAAAUCUGGGCUGCACUGCACUAUGCUUAUUGGGAGUCCUCACUGAAUUUGGCAUUAAAUAUGGCCACCCCUAGGAGCAGUGGACCACCAGGCUGCCUAAGAAGGGAUGAGCCAGCCCAAGUUGGAAACAGAGGAGGUCAAAAUUCCCGUGUUGAUCAGUUAGUGAGAUCAAAACUGUGACUAGCCAUUGUACUCCAGGCUGGGCAACAUAACGAGACCCCAUCUCU
rnacentral:SRP_RNA from 1 species